GGGGGCGUAGCUAAGAUGGUAGAGCGCUCGCUUAGCAUGUGAGAGGUAUGGGGAUUGAUACACCGUGCCUCCA
rnacentral:tRNA from 1 species